rnacentral:rRNA from 1 species
GACGAAGGAUGCAAGUGUUAUCCGGAUUCAUUGGGUUUAAAGGGAGCGUAGGUGGCCUUAUAAGUCAGUGGUGAAAUCUCUGGGCUUAACCCAGAAAUUGCCAUUGAUACUGUAGGGCUUGAGUACAGUUGCUGUGGGCGGAAUAUGACAUGUAGUGGUGAAAUACAUAGAGAUGUCAUAGAACACCGAUUGCGAAGGCAGCUCACAAAACUGUAACUGACACUGAGGCUCGAAAGUGCGGGGAUCAAACAGG